rnacentral:rRNA from 1 species
GAACUUUCCAGAGAUGGAUUGGUGCCUUCGGGAACUUAGAUACAGGUGCUGCAUGGCUGUCGUCAGCUCGUGUCGUGAGAUGUUGGGUUAAGUCCCGNAACGAGCGCAACCCUUUUCCUUAUUUGCCAGCGGGUCAUGCCGGGAACUUUAAGGAUACUGCCAGUGACAAACUGGAGGAAGGCGGGGACGACGUCAAGUCAUCAUGGCCCUUACGGCCAGGGCUACACACGUGCUACAAUGGUCGGUACAAAGGGUUGCUACCUCGCGAGAGGAUGCUAAUCUCAAAAAGCCGAUCGUAGUCCGGAUCGCAGUCUGCAACUCGACUGCGUGAAGUCGGAAUCGCUAGUAAUCGCGGAUCAGAAUGCCGCGGUGAAUACGUUCCCGGGCCUUGUACACACCGCCCGUCACACCAUGGGUAGUUUGUUGCACCAGAAGUAGGUAGUCUAACCGCAAGGAGGACGCUUACCACGGUGUGGCCGAUGACUGGGGUGAAGUCGUAACAAGGUAAGCGUAGAUGA